AUGUGAAUAUUAGAGAGGGAAAAGAAACUAUCCCGCCACUAGGAAACCGCAUAAUCUUCUACGGCCGUGAGCUCAAGUCGGUGGUGGCCACCAUUUUAUCCUCUACUUCGUCUCGCCGAUUUCUAAGGUUGUUUCGCCGUCGGAGUGAUAAAGUGACGGUGUAUUGAGCAAAAAAGACUCCACUGAAUCUCAAAUUUACUUAAUUGCGGUGGCAAGGGAAGAUCAAUUUACGUGAACCUCAUUAGCAUGUUGAACCUCUGAUUCAUUGAGUCAAAUGAGUAGGAGUUAUCUUCCUGAAGUUCAGAAACCUAGAGGUCCUCAAACGAAUUGGUCGGAACAUGCAAAGGCGCUCGAGAGUCCAUCGUCCGUGACUAAGUUUCUGAGCUCCAAUGUCCUUUAUGCUCUAGAAAGUCAAAAGCCUAGAGAUAUGGCGGCAAGGUCUAUCUCGUUUCCCAGUGUGAAUGUGCAUACUUUGGCGCA